UGGGAAUUGGCUCAAUUGGGUAAGAGCAUUUUGCUGUGGAAGAAGGAGGACCUGGGUUCAAAUCCCUGGCCCCCAU
rnacentral:tRNA from 1 species